GGCUCCGUGGCCUAAUGGUUAUGGCUUCUGUCUCCCAAGCUGAAGGUUCAGAGAUCAAAUCCUGGUCGGUGCCU
rfam:Culex pipiens quinquefasciatus supercont3.73 genomic scaffold, whole genome shotgun sequence.